rnacentral:rRNA from 1 species
AACGGAGGGGACUAGUGUUACUCAACCUGACUGGGCGUAAAGGGUACGUAGGCGGUAUGUUGUGUUUUUAGAAAAAUUCUCGAGCUAAACUUGAGCAAAUCUAUUUUUGACUAAUAUACUAGAGUUUUUGGGAGUAGAAAGGUACGCGCAGUGUAGAGGUGAAAUUCGAAGAAACUGUGAGGACUACCGACUGGCGAAGGCGUUUCUAUAGCCAAAAACUGACGCUGAGGUACAAAAGCGUGGGGAGCAAACAGG